UACGUAGGUGGCGAGCGUUAUCCGGAAUUACUGGGUGUAAAGGGUGAGUAGGCGGGAGAGCAAGUCAGAUGUGAAAUGCAAAGGCUUAACCUUUGAAUUGCAUUUGAAACUGUUUUUCUUGAGAGUCGGAGAGGUAAUCGGAAUUCCUAGUGUAGCGGUGAAAUGCGUAGAUAUUAGGAGGAACACCAGUGGCGAAGGCGGAUUACUGGACGACAACUGACGCUGAUACACGAAAGCGUGGGGAGCAAAC
rnacentral:rRNA from 1 species